rnacentral:rRNA from 1 species
AGUCGACGGAAUCCUUCGGGAUUUAGUGGCGGACGGGUGAGUAACACGUAAGAACCUGCCUCUAGGACGGGGACAACAGUUGGAAACGACUGCUAAACCCGGAUGAGCCGAAAGGUAAAAGAUUUAUCGCCUAGAGAGGGGCUUGCGUCUGAUUAGCUAGUUGGUAAGGUAAGAGCUUACCAAGGCGACGAUCAGUAGCUGGUCUGAGAGGAUGAUCAGCCACACUGGGACUGAGACACGGCCCAGACUCCUACGGGAGGCAGCAGUGGGGAAUUUUCCGCAAUGGGCGAAAGCCUGACGGAGCAAGACCGCGUGGGGGAGGAAGGUUCUUGGAUUGUCAACCCCUUUUCUCAGGGAAGAACUCAAUGACGGUACCUGAGGAAAAAGCAUCGGCUAACUCCGUGCCAGCAGCCGCGGUAAUACGGGGGAUGCAAGCGUUAUCCGGAAUGAUUGGGCGUAAAGAGUCCGUAGGUAGCCAAUCAAGUCUGCUGUUAAAGAGCGAGGCUUAACUUCGUAAAGGCAGUGGAAACUGGAAGGCUAGAGUGUAGUAGGGGCAGAGGGAAUUCCUGGUGUAGCGGUGAAAUGCGUAGAGAUCAGGAAGAACACCGGUGGCGAAGGCGCUCUGCUGGGCUAUAACUGACACUGAGGGACGAAAGCUAGGGGAGCGAAUGGGAUUAGAUACCCCAGUAGUCCUAGCGGUAAACGAUGGAAACUAGGUGUGGCCUGUAUCGACCCGGGCCGUGCCGAAGCUAACGCGUUAAGUUUCCCGCCUGGGGAGUACGCACGCAAGUGUGAAACUCAAAGGAAUUGACGGGGCCCGCACAGCGGUGGAGUAUGUGGUUUAAUUCGAUGCA